rnacentral:rRNA from 2 species
AGCUUGCUCCCUGAUGUUAGCGGCGGACGGGUGAGUAACACGUGGGUAACCUGCCUGUAAGACUGGGAUAACUCCGGGAAACCGGGGCUAAUACCGGAUGGUUGUUUGAACCGCAUGGUUCAGACAUAAAAGGUGGCUUCGGCUACCACUUACAGAUGGACCCGCGGCGCAUUAGCUAGUUGGUGAGGUAACGGCUCACCAAGGCAACGAUGCGUAGCCGACCUGAGAGGGUGAUCGGCCACACUGGGACUGAGACACGGCCCAGACUCCUACGGGAGGCAGCAGUAGGGAAUCUUCCGCAAUGGACGAAAGUCUGACGGAGCAACGCCGCGUGAGUGAUGAAGGUUUUCGGAUCGUAAAGCUCUGUUGUUAGGGAAGAACAAGUGCCGUUCAAAUAGGGCGGCACCUUGACGGUACCUAAC